GAUACGGCCCAGACUCCUACGGGAGGCAGCAGUGGGGAAUAUUGCACAAUGGGCGCAAGCCUGAUGCAGCGACGCCGCGUGCGGGAUGACGGCCUUCGGGUUGUAAACCGCUUUUGACUGGGAGCAAGCCCUUCGGGGUGAGUGUACCUUUCGAAUAAGCACCGGCUAACUACGUGCCAGCAGCCGCGGUAAUACGUAGGGUGCAAGCGUUAUCCGGAAUUAUUGGGCGUAAAGGGCUCGUAGGCGGUUCGUCGCGUCCGGUGUGAAAGUCCAUCGCUUAACGGUGGAUCCGCGCCGGGUACGGGCGGGCUUGAGUGCGGUAGGGGAGACUGGAAUUCCCGGUGUAACGGUGGAAUGUGUAGAUAUCGGGAAGAACACCAAUGGCGAAGGCAGGUCUCUGGGCCGUCACUGACGCUGAGGAGCGAAAGCGUGGGGAGCGAACAGGAUUAGAUACCCUGGUAGUCCACGCCGUAAACGGUGGAUGCUGGAUGUGGGGACCAUUCCACGGUCUCCGUGUCGGAGCCAACGCGUUAAGCAUCCCGCCUGGGGAGUACGGCCGCAAGGCUAAAACUCAAAGAAAUUGACGGGGGCCCGCACAAGCGGCGGAGCAUGCGGAUUAAUUCGAUGCAACGCGAAGAACCUUACCUGGGCUUGACAUGUUCCCGACAGCCCCAGAGAUGGGGCCUCCCUUCGGGGCGGGUUCACAGGUGGUGCAUGGUCGUCGUCAGCUCGUGUCGUGAGAUGUUGGGUUAAGUCCCGCAACGAGCGCAACCCUCGCCCUGUGUUGCCAGCACGUCGUGGUGGGAACUCACGGGGGACCGCCGGGGUCAACUCGGAGGAAGGUGGGGAUGACGUCAGAUCAUCAUGCCCCUUACGUCCAGGGCUUCACGCAUGCUACAAUGGCCGGUACAACGGGAUGCGACACCGCGAGGUGGAGCGGAUCCCUUAAAACCGGUCUCAGUUCGGAUUGGAGUCUGCAACCCGACUCCAUGAAGGCGGAGUCGCUAGUAAUCGCGGAUCAGCAACGCCGCGGUGAAUGCGUUCCCGGGCCUUGUACACACCGCCCGUCAAGUCAUGAAAGUGGGUAGCACCCGAAGCCGGUGGCCCAACCUUUUGGGGGGAGCCGUCUAAGGUGAGACUCGUGAUUGGGACUAAGUCGUAACAAGGUAGCCGUACCGGAAGGUGCGGCUG
rnacentral:rRNA from 1 species